UACAGAGGUCUCAAGAGUUGUUCGGAUGCAUUGGGCGUAAAGGGUGCGUAGGCGGCGCGGUAAGUCGGGUGUGAAAUCUUGGAGCUUAACUCCGAAACUGCAUUCGAUACUGCCGUGCUUGAGGACUGGAGAGGAGACUGGAAUUUACGGUGUAGCGGUGAAAUGCGUAGAUAUCGUAAGGAAGACCAGUGGCGAAGGCGGGUCUCUGGACAGUUCCUGACGCUGAGGCACGAAGGUCAGGGGAGCAAACGGG
rnacentral:rRNA from 1 species